GAUGAACGCUGGCGGCGUGCCUAAUACAUGCAAGUCGAGCGAACAGACGAGGAGCUUGCUCCUCUGACGUUAGCGGCGGACGGGUGAGUAACACGUGGAUAACCUACCUAUAAGACUGGGAUAACUUCGGGAAACCGGAGCUAAUACCGGAUAAUAUAUUGAACCGCAUGGUUCAAUAGUGAAAGACGGUUUUGCUGUCACUUAUAGAUGGAUCCGCGCCGCAUUAGCUAGUUGGUAAGGUAACGGCUUACCAAGGCGACGAUGCGUAGCCGACCUGAGAGGGUGAUCGGCGACACUGGAGCUGAGACACGGUCCAGACUCCUACGGGAGGCAGCAGUAGGGAAUCUUCCGCAAUGGGCGAAAGCCUGACGGAGCAACGCCGCGUGAGUGAUGAAGGUCUUCGGAUCGUAAAACUCUGUUAUUAGGGAAGAACAAAUGUGUAAGUAACUAUGCACGUCUUGACGGUACCUAGUCAGAAAGCCACGGCUAACUACGUG
rnacentral:rRNA from 1 species